rnacentral:rRNA from 1 species
AGAUUCAGUGAUCAUCGAAUCUUUGAACGCAUCUUGCACCUUUUGGUAUUCCAAAAGGUACACCUGUUUGAGUGUCAUGA